rnacentral:rRNA from 1 species
UACAGAGGGUGCGAGCGUUGUCCGGAACUCACUGGGCGUGAAAGGGCGCGGUAGGUGGUGGCUUAAGCGUGCGGAUGAAGCUCGGGGCUCAACUCCGAGUCGGCCGUGCGAACUGGGCUCACUGGAGCAUAGUAGAGGCAGGUGGAAUUCCGGGUGUAGCGGUGGAAUGCGUAGAGAUCCGGAAGAACACCGGUGGCGAAGGCGGCCUGCUGGGCUAUGGCUGACACUGAGGCGCGACAGCGUGGGGAGCAAACAGG